CUUGGAAUAAAAGUCGUUAUAAUUUUAUUUAUUUUUUCCUCUUUUUUCUUAGUUUUGAUUGUGUCAGAUGGUGUUUAGUUACUUACUUAAUUGUUAUGUUACAGAUAUCAAUUUUGUAUUAUUACCAAGAACACAUUGUUUAAUAUGGCCAUCAAACAACUUUAAAUUCUUACCCGUCCUCCAAUUAUGUACCUUAUUUUAGAAUUGACAUCGCCGUUGUGUUAUAUAUUUUAUAAGUACUAAACAAUGCCAAAGUCCAACAAGUUACAACUUCCAUUUAUCAUUUAAAUACAUUGUAAAUUGGGAUUGAAAAAAAGUAAAAUAAAAAAAAAGAAAAUACCGAAUUCAACGGAAAAUUCAGAUCGGAAGUGCCAUAUCAAAUGGAAAAAAUCAAAGGCUCAGACACAUCAAACGAAUGAAAAGCAAUUGUCAUAUUCCUGACUUGGUAACAUGUUAUUGAUUUGAAUGGAUAUGCCGGAAGUUAGUUUUUUGAAAUUUUACCAUUUGAUGAAAUGUUGACAUUAGAAGGAGGUUAAAGUCCAAUAAACAGGUCAGGGGAUAAAAACGUUAUCUCUGAGUGAAAUAUGUAAAGAAUUGUCACAAAGGGUCAUUCUAGCUAUAUUCUUAUAAAAUCAUUAAAUUUGUAAAUUACUUAUAUUGAAUUUUCGCAUAAAGGGACAAAUAUGGCAAAAUCUGUCCUUCAAGAAAAAUGCUCAUUUGAACACUUGAUAUCAUUAUUUCCUUGAUUUAGGAUUUCUGCUCCCAAGGAAGCUAUUAAUAGUUCAAGUGGUGAAGUUGAAAUCAUUUCUAUCUGUCGCCCCUCUUUUGAUUCGAGAUUUUAAAAACCUUCAAGAUAGCAAUUUUUGAAAAAUGUUAUCUUUUAGAAUGGAUUAAGACUAUAAGUAUAAGCUCUUUACCUAAAUUAUUUAUUUCUAUAUGAUAAAAUUCUGACAUGACAAAUCACAUUCUCGCAUAGCGGUUGUUAAAAUGCAAACGUUUAUACAAAUUAUGGUGUCUUUUCUGACAAAAUUCAAUGAUUAUACAAUUUGUUUACCAAAUAAAUAUCCUAUUUAAAUAUACCAGACAUUCUAAUAACUUUGCAUGACCGCCAUUUACUUUAAAUUGCAACUUACGUUUUGUACUUUUCAACGUUGAUGUAUAGCUAAUAAUGCACGAUUUAUUUUCAUUUGUUUGAGUGUGUUAUCAAACAGUUACAUUUACCUGAGGAAUACCCAGGUUUGGUGUUUUGUUCGAUUUACUUCCCUUGCAUAUUUAACCGCCCUAAUGCUGUAAAAACAUUAUAUUUUCACACAUCACACUUUAUUCCAUCAAUAUUCAUUCCGGUAACGUUUUUGACAAGUCAGUUGCUUGUAGUGCAUUCUGGAAAGAGUUGCUCCACGGUUUUCGUUUAACGAAUGUAUUUUGAAAGGGUAAGCAGAUCCUGAUCCACAAGUGCACCAGUCAUAUAGUAUUAGUACAAACCCUGUGAUACAUCUAAUUCGGUAGGUCACUUUCAAAGAACAGAGUACUUGAAUGCAGCUACGACAAUUGGAACAAUACCGUCGUUAUCUGUGAAAUAGAUAUUUCGAACUGGUCAACUAAAUCAUGAUGGCGUCCUUAACGGAUUCGAAGGGUCGACUUGAAUUUCUCCAUCUGGAUCUUUUGUCCAAUAGCUUUCUUGUAAGCAUCAAUCCUAAUCUGAAACUAGAGCCCAAAAUUUGAAAAAAAUGGUAAAAAAAUAGAGAGUAGCCCUAUUCCAGGGCUUCUAGAGAAAAAUAAUGAGGGGUGUCACGGGGUAUGACUAUAAAGAUCUUGUAGAGGAGAAACAAGCGCUUCUUUUGCGUAAGAUAUCGAAGGGCGCUAUGUUCAAAAACUAGAGCCCAAAAUUUGAAAAAAAUGGUAAAAAAAUAGGGGCGUCGGCCUAUUCCGGGGCUUCUAGAGAAAAAAUAAUGAGGGGUGUCACGGGGUAUGACUAUAUAGGUCUUGUAGAGAAGAAACAGGCGCUUUUUUGCGCAAGGUAUCAGAGGGCGCUAUGUUCAAAAAUCUGAAACUAGAGCUCAAAAUUUGAAAAAAAAAGGUAAAAAACAGGGGAGUCGGCCUAUUCCGGGGCUUCUAGAGAAAAAAAUGAGGGGUGUCACGGGGUAUGACUAUAUAGGUCUUGUAGAAGAAAAACAGGCGCUUCUUUUGCGCAAGGUAUCGAAGGGCGCUAUGUUCAAAAAUCUGAAACUAGAGCCGAAAAUUUGAAAAAAAUGGUAAAAAAUAGGGGGAGUAGCCUAUUCCAGGGCUUCUAGAGAAAAAUAAUGAGGGGUGUCACGGGGUAUGACUAUAAAGAUCUUGUAGAGAAGAAACAGGCGCUUCUUUUGCGUAAGAUAUGAAAGGGCGCUAUGUUCAAAAACUAGAACCUAGAGCAAAAUUUGAAAAAAAUCUGAAAAAAAUAGGGGGGUCGCCCUAUUCCAGGACUCUAGAGAAAAAUAAUGAAUGGUGUCAAAGGGUAUGACUAUAUAGGUCUUGUAGAGAGAAACAGGCGCUUCUUUUGCGCAAGGUAUCAAAGGGCGCUAUGUUCAAAAAUCUGAAACUAGAGCCCAAAAUUUGAAAAAAAUGGUAAAAAAGUAGGGGGUAACCCUAUUCCAGGGCUUCUAGAGAAAAAUAAUGAGGGGUGUCACGGGGUAUGACUAUAUAGGUCUUGUAGAAGGAGAAACAGGCGCUUCUUUUGCGCAAGGUAUGAAAGGGCGCUAUGUUCAAAAAUCUGAAACUAGAGCUCAAAAUUUGAAAAAAAUGGUAAAAACAGGGGGUCGGCCUAUUCCGGGACUUCUAGAGAAAAAUAAUGAGGGUGUCACGGGGUAUGACUAUUUAGGUCUUGUAGAAGAGAAACAGGCGCUUCUUUU
rnacentral:lncRNA from 1 species